rnacentral:rRNA from 1 species
UUCGGUUGAUCCUGCCGGAGGUUACUGCUAUCGAGGUUCGACUAAGCCAUGCGAGUCGAAUGUAGCAAUACAUGGCGUACUGCUCAGUAACACGUGGACAACCUACCCUCCGGACGGGGAUAAACCCGGGAAACUGGGUAUAAUACCCGAUAGAUCUCGACUGCUGGAAUGCAUCGAGAUCGAAAGCUCCGGCGCCAGAGGAUGGGUCUGCGGCCUAUCAGGUAGUAGUGGGUGUAGCGUACCUACUAGCCUACGACGGGUACGGGUUGUGAGAGCAAGAGCCCGGAGAUGGAUUCUGAGACACGAAUCCAGGCCCUACGGGGUGCAGCAGGCGCGAAAACUUUACAAUGCCGGCAACGGCGAUAAGGGGACCUCGAGUGCCAGGUUACAAAUCUGGCUGUCGUGAUGCCUAAAAAGCAUUGCAUAGCAAGGGCCGGGCAAGACCGGUGCCAGCCGCCGCGGUAACACCGGCGGCUCGAGUGGUAACCGUUAUUAUUGGGUCUAAAGGGUCUGUAGCCGGCCGGAUAAGUCUCUUGGGAAAUCCAGCAGCUCAACUGUUGGGCUUUCAGGAGAUACUGUCUGGCUCGAGGCCGGGAGAGGUGAGAGGUACUUCAGGGGUAGGGGUGAAAUCUUGUAAUCCUUGAAGGACCACCAGUGGCGAAGGCGUCUCACCAGAACGGACCUGACGGCAAGGGACGAAAGCUAGGGGCACGAACCAGAUUAGAUACCCGGGUAGUCCUAGCCGUAAACGAUACUCGCUAGGUGUCGGCCACGGUGCGACCGUUGUCGGUGCCGUAGGGAAGCCGUGAAGCGAGCCACCUGGGAAGUACGGCCGCAAGGCUGAAACUUAAAGGAAUUGGCGGGGGAGCACCACAACGGGUGGAGCUUGCGGUUUAAUUGGAUUCAACGCCGG